CAUAGUCUUCAGAGCAAACACUAACCCAUGUCUUAAAUCGUGGAACAUAAACAUUAAAGUGUCAGGAAAAAAGAGUUCUGACUGUUAUUUGUAGCUAAUGGGCUGAACAUGCCAAAUCACUGGGGAGUCAUUUGUUUCAGCUGACGACAGAAUUAAUUACAACUUAAAUACCACUGCCCUCAGCUGUGGUUUUUCACUGCAUGAGGUAAAAUAGCCCAAAUAUUUACUCUUUGUCCUUUAAAGGCCUUCUGGGGCUCCUAAACUUUCUUUGUUUUAUAAUAACGGCUCUGAUCCUUCAAAUUAUUCAGCGGGUAAGUAGACUUCACUGAGAUGUUGUUGGUCUGAAGCUGCAGAGCGGUGAUGAUGUGUUAUAAUUUCAUGUUCCAUAUGUCAUGUUUAUGAUAAGUCCCAGUUCUUAACACAGCUUCUAUUAUGCAACGUCCCUUUUAUGCAGAGUAGAAAAUACACAAACCCCUUGAAGUCUGUGUGAAUGAGGUUUUGUCGUCAAAGUUCAAUGGAAACACAGCAAACAACCACAAAACAGCGGCUCAUGAUUCCUUAAGACAGGAAAUAUUUUUUAUUGGUAAAAAAAAAAAUUGUUUGGAACUUUUUUCAUUGAUUUUUUAUGAAAUGCUUUGGGUCUUUUGGCUAAUGUUUGGCUAAAAAAAUCAAUUGUUAAAAACUAAUUUUCUGAUAUUUUUUGCGAUUCUGUCUAUUUUCUCUAGCUUUACACAGCUUUUACUAAUUUAUUUGGAAACACUUUCAUACACAUUUGCUCAAUUUUAAUUCAACUAUCUUUACUCGUUAUUAUCUUUGACUUUGUUAAAAAAAUGCAUGUGGCUUUAAAGGGUCUUCAAUAAAGAUUUUUACAUUUUACACUAUAAAAAUUGUUUAGAAGCUGUAUUUGUUGUUGCUCUGUAGGUUUUAGUAGUGGUAUAGUUUCCCUUGAUUUGUCAUUGCUAUUUAUUCAGUCUCUGUAACCUCUGACCUCAUCUUUAAUUGUCCUGAGGUUAAAGUAUUCCACUCAAUUUUUCUGUAUUAUUUUGGAUAAUGUGAAGCAAUUCUGACUAACAUUUUUUCUUAGCAUUUGUAAAACAAUUAACCAUCUUGUCUAAAAUGUUUUUUAAUGGCUGACACGUCUUUAGUAAAUUGGCUUUAAACUUUAAACUUAUUUUUAACCACAUUUUGAGGAUAACAUGUCUAAUCAUAGACAACUGUAAACAGUCUGGAAAUUAAUGGGAAAAAUCUUUGAACAACAACAUGCCCUACAUGGAAAAGUACAGCUUUUUUAGUGAACUAUGCCUCUGUGAACAAACAUGCAGACAGAGGAACUGUAGUUUCCAUUUGACAUUUAUAAUCAAUGGGCUACAUGAUAAUGACAGAAAUGGCCCUCAGCCAGGUGGCAUUAGAGAACUCUGCCUCAUUUUCUUUUGCCUUCUAUGUGCAGCUUCUAAGGACAUGGAGUAUUUUAACCUAUGACGAUAUGCGGCAGUGUCUCCACUGAUUGGAUCCAUCACUUCCAGACCUCAGUGUGUCUCCAAUGUGUGCUGUUAGAAGGAAAUUAUGAACAAAUCCUACUUUUCUCCAACCUGCUGAAAUAAUAUUUUGAGAAUGAAACACUUUGUUAGAGCCCUGCAAUCACUCAACUGCAGCCUGUGACAAGAAGGUAACACGAACUCUUAAAAAAUAUUCGCCUUUUUUAGAUAAAUGAGCCAUGAUGUUUUGUAAAAGAGCAUCUGUUCAAAUGUUACAUUUUUAUCUUAUUUUAUCUUAUCUCUUUAUUUUUAUCACACUUUAUGUUUCUGCUGUUUCCUCUCCCCAAAAGUCAAAUAAUUGUGGACAAGGUUGGUUCAAUAUCUGACACAACACCAUGGUCCACGUAGUGUGCAGCUGAGUAAAACUGAUCUACAAUUCUGAACAAAUACAACAGACACUGUUGAUGUUUCUGAUCUCAGUUGACCAGGAACAGUAUGUCUAUAAAUGAUGGUCACACAGCCACCCUAUUCACAGUGCCUGUAGAAAACAAAUAUGGGAACCUGUGUAAUAUAUGGAUACCUUAGUACUUGAAUUCACAAAUGUGUAGCCUGGUACAAAUUGUGAAAUAAAAAAAAUAAAAAAUAAAAAAUUACAUAAUGGACAUGAAUGAUGGGAGGACUUUGAAAAGACUUUGAUAUUCCCUCAGGGCCUUCAGCGCAGUUUUUCCUGUCAGUUGAAACUUGUCAAAGAACUGAAAUUGCAUUCAUUACGGGGACUUACAAAGUCUUAAAUUUAACUUCUUAAACUUGUUGAAACAAUUAUUUUGUGGAACACGUGAAAAAAUAUUACUCCCGGUUUAAAACUUCAUAAAUUACACCCAAGUUGUAAUAAAUCUGCACUUCCAUUCUAAGUAUCCCACACUCUAUUUUCCUUUUCGUCCCAUUACUGCCUUCUAACGAAGUUCCAUUGAAAAGAAAAAAAAAAUCUUCUCACCGAAGAUUCCUGAAAAAAACUUCCCCUCUUGAUUCCGGGAGUUUGUUGAGGCCAGGUUUGAGGAAUUUUGAAUGUAAAGUCUUUUUUAAGAGUUUAACCCAUCAGAAAUUUUGCCUCUUGCUUCUUCAGUUUCACACUGAGCUCAUUUAUCUCUAACUCCUGUUGUUUCUGGACUUAACACUCCUAUUCUUCUGUCUCUUCUUCUUCGGUUCCAUCAAUCUGUCAUCUGCCGGAGAUGGUGCCAGCACGUGGCGCAGGAACCGGCUCUACUGCUGCGCCAACCUUCCACUGUUUGACAUGAAGACAAAUAGAUGAAGCUGUGCACCUGUUGAGCAUUAUGUGCAUCCCCUGUGAGGUCAAACAAGGACUGCUGUGUGUCCAAAUGUGCCUUCCACUUUGCCAUCACUCACACAUGGAUUUAUUUUGGUCCGCUUCCAGGUGAAUUCCACGUUCUCCAUACUUUUGACAGAUAAAUGUUGGACUAGAAGAAUCAUUUCUUGUAAACUCUGCCAUUUGUGAAGUGUGACUUUGCGAUGAUAUAGUAAUGGGAGGUGGUCAUUUUUCUUUAGCUCACUGGCAUCCAGUUUGCCUUCACCCAACCAUUUAGGCUGCACCAAAUAUGUCUUCCUCAAGUCUGUCUUCCAGAGCCUGUCUUGGUUUUUAUCCUGCGGUUUAUUUGUCUUCAUCUCUCAGGAACAAAGAUUAAGUUGAAAGCAAAGAUGGGUUUAGUGCAAUUACAUCACCAAGCCACAAAAACAGAUCAAUCAGAGAUUUUGUCCCCCCACUUUUUUUCCCUGUCUGUAUCUUUGCCAAUCACUGAAGUGCUUUCUAAGAAGAAAUUCUGCAGCUGUAAAGUGACAGACCUUACGAUAUAUCGUCAGUAGUUUACACAGAGAGAGGCUACAGUUAGAGCAGGAUACAGUUGAGUUGGACUACUGUCCUUGUCACAAUAUAAAAGUCAAUUAUCAUAUUUAUUUUAAAGGUUAAUUCGUUGUGUCUUUGUUUUGCCUUGACAAAUGUAUACCUGCCAUGUUAGAAGUUAGAACAGUUUGGUGAGUGCCCAAAACUUAAUCGUUGUUAUAUAAUGUCACGCUACUUUUACUAACACUGGGCCAGAUCCUGUUAAGCAGCAAGCUAGUAGCUAACUGUGUGCUAAUAUAGGAUUUUGUAAUUAUUUGGUGAUCUAGUGUUUGCAUUUAUUGUAUAAUUUGGCUGAAAUAUAAAACCCUGUUUUAACUCUGAAUGCACCAACCAAGUCAAUCUACAAAAAGAAGGUUGAAGCCCAAGUCUCCAUUGUGAAGUGCUGUUCCUGGUACGCAGACUUAAUGAAGUAGGCCGACAUUCUAACUCUAUACUAAUUUUCAGGACUUGACAGGACUUGACUUGACUAUUUCAGCCAUAUGUCUUCCAACAGACCAACAUUAUAUUUUAAUCUUCUAUGUCACGCAAGCACAGCACAAGUCAAUGUAAUGUGUCUUCCAAAGAUUCUUCCUGGAUGAGUCAACAGAUACUUCACCUGUUUACUGCUGUCAUCUCACAGUGUUUGAUUUAGUUCUAGAGACAAAACAGAAAGUUAACUCUGACAAUAACACCGCUGAUGAAGUGCAGGUAAGGAAUGGAGCGUGCAGACGUGUACAGUGUACAAACACUUCUAAACAAUUUAUCCACUGGCUUUUAAAGCACCCCCUGUGUUUGGGUCACUGCGUGUGCACACAGAGCCAGCGUUCCGCCAUAAAACACCGUUACAUGAAAAUGUCUGCACUUUCAAACUAAACCUGAUGCCGGAGUUUUCCACAAACAGCAGAAGUGAGUGGUUCUCAGCAUCAGUGACUGUAAAUGACUUUAGCAUAGAGCAGCUCUGACGUGUGAGACUGGUCAUAAUUGUGCCCUCUGUUCCAGGUUAGCGUUUGAAUACAGGAGUAUGGUUAUGAUGAAUAAGGUCCAGAUUUUCAAAUACUGUACACAUGGUGGCGUCAGUCAGCUUCAAGACGUGAGGCUGAUUCAAAAAGUUCAAAAUGUGUCAAAUCCCGUAAAUGGUGCCGUUGACUGAAGUACAUCAGGUACAAGAGCAAGUCAAAAAUUAGAUGAAGGACCUGUAACAAAGCUUUAAUAAUUCAGCCAGCUUUCCAUCCUAGACAAGUAUAACUGGGCUUCCAGCUAGUCAUUAAAAUCACACUCAUUCUGCUAGUCAUCCUUUCAAUCUUUUUUCUUUUUUUAACAAAUGGCUUCAUUUACUUUAUCGACAAUCCUGGCAGCUCCAUCUGAAAACUUUGAUUCAACUAUCUGUCUGUCCCAACCAGGCCACUCUCAUCUGACCUUCAAUGCUCUUCAGGUAUCUGCUAAAACACCAUACACAAAUAGGAACCUUGGUGGACUGUUAGCUAAUCACAAAACACAAUGACCCUUUAUGCUAUUCUACUGAUUGGCAGGGAUGUGGUAAAGCUAAGCCUAAAUAUGCAGUAACUGCUUCAGAUAAAUGAUAAAUGAUUAAUCCCCUGAAUAUUUCCAUCAAACGUAGAGUAGAGCAGAAAGUCUUUCUGUAAGUUCCACGGUUCAACUCCUGUGGUCUACAUAGUACACUGGACCUUUGUUGACAUUAAAAAAAAACAAAUUACUCUUGGUCAGCUGGGCCUGCAGUAUGUGAAAUGGUGUGAAUAAUGGGUGAUUAAUGUGUGAACAGUAAAACAAAAUCUACUAUUGGUGUAGAGUAGCAUUUAUAGAAAGCUAUAUGAAUCCAACUUUUUUUCACUUUUCGGUGCCAACCCCCAUAAUGAAUGACAUGAUUGACAAAGAGAGGUCAAAGUGCACGUGGACAACAUUUGCACCGACAAGGUUGCAGUAGCAUAAAACAAAGUGUGUAAAAAUAUUCACUUAUACGAUGCCGACAUCUGUAUGUUUUUCUUUUUGUUGCCGUAUCAGAGUCAGAUUUGAGGAGCUGUCAGCUCUAAGCUGCAGCUCUAAUCCUCCCAUGUAAUGUGGUUAUCUAUCUUUCAGAUGGAGGAUUCAUUCUGACAUCACUCAAACACACAUCAAGUAUUCAGACUUGCUCACACAUACCCAUGCACACAACACACACACGGUCACACAAAAUGAGAAACACAUUGAGCUUUUGGUUGCUCCCUUCUGCCGCUGAGACAAAUUUAGAGUGGAUGAAUUAUAUUGGUCUUUUCCCUCUGUCCCUCUAACUUCUCCCGCCCGGUCCUCUUUGCUGUUGUCCUUCAUAGCUUUUAAAAAGGAAGAUUUACUGUUUGCCACAUGGCAGCUGGCAACACAACUCUACAGUUUUUUAAACAUCUUUGUACUAUUGUCUCACUUUCUCAAAGAAAUCUGGUCAAAGGCUGUCGUAAAGUGAGCCUGUGGAACAUACCAAUCAAGAAUAACCUGUUCUAAAGGUUUUUAACUUUAAAACUAGAGUUUUUCUCACGUUUGUCUCAAGAACAAAAGUCUGGGUGUUAAUGGCAAUACGGUUUCAAAAGGUUUUUUCCUAGGUCUUUAUAGUUGCUUGGCUUAAGUACAUUUUUUGCUAUUUAAGGAUAUUUUUUUAGGAUUGACUAACUUUUAGGUUUUUUUUUAAUCUUUUGCCUCAAUUUAUAUUCUAUGCUGGAAUUUUAAAUUUUGUGGGCUAGCACCAAACACAACAUGGUUGAUCUUCGUGAUAAUUCUUUGAUGUAAAAGCAGCAACUCUUACAUGAGUUAUGUAACAUGAAAUGUCAUGACAACUGUCCAAAUGAUGGAUGCUUAAGUCUGAUUACAUUAGCUAUUACCCUAAAACAGUGCAGUAAUCACUAUGUAGGUAUCACAGGAGGAGCCCUUUGGGGAUUUUUACAGUGGAGAAACCACCUCCUCUCAUCCUUCCCACCUCUUGAAAAGUAUUUGGACAGCCUUCCUUUUCUGUGUGGGAGUGAAGUUAAACAUUGUGUACUCGUAGAGCAAAACCCCCCAAGACUGUUACAGUAAUCAGGAAUAACGUCAUAGACAGAGAGAGGAUCCAGGCACUGCUGGGAUUUCUAUAAUUUAUGGUUUAAUAAUAUUAUUAGCAGCGUGACAGGUGGGAUCUGAUCUACAGAAUCUAUGCAUAUUCAACAUGUGCAUUUGUGCACACGUUCUGGUGAAACGGUAUGAGGCCUUGAACCCUGGAAGACAGUGUGAAUAUUUCUCAGAGUAUUCCAUACAUCAUAUUUUCCACUUUUCCAACACAGAAUGCAGAGUGCAGCCCAAUUUUACCUGGCAGGAAAAUCAGACUUUCCUGCACUGCCACACAUCUUGACAGAAGCAGAAUGAAAUUACGAAGACGAAGAAAAAGGUAUUUUUUCAGCGAGCGUGUCAUUCUAGAGGUUACAGUAUAGAAACGUGGUGAAAUAUGAAUAGCAAGGAAAUCGUCACAGUUUCCAUGGAUUUCUGUGGUGGGGACUAACGAAGAAUACACAAGGUAUGAAUUGGUGUCCUUUAUCGUCAAUGUUGGGUUUUUUUGUCCUAAACUGCAUAGACCUGGUGUGGAACACUGUAACUCAAUAAGGCACUCCAUUCAUGGCAUGAGCAUAUUGGAAAAAGUGAGUAAAAAAAGAAAUCUAAAUUAUUGUCUUUUUCCAUUCUCAAAAUCACAACCAGCCCAAGUGAGGAAACUUGCACACAUGACUGAGCUGUGAAGGACCUUCUACUCUUGGCUUCAGCUGCAAACGUUUUCCAAUCGCACUAACGCUCCUGGAAGGAAGAAAUAAUUGAAAAAAGAGUUGUGAUCUUUGAACAGUUUUUAACAUUUUCAGAUUUUGUGGAACUGUGGGGUCUUGGCUGAGUGAUUUUCCACCUGAGUAAAGGUGAUUCCUCUUCAGGGAGGGUAAUGGCCAGAGGCCCACAUGAGAAGAAGCAGAAUAUACAGCCCUAUGGUAACCGAUGCGUACACAAAGACAUGUGUGACUGCAUUUAUAGCACGUACCAUGAUACAGUUUUUGGCGACUUGGUGCAUGCUGGCAGAUAAAGCUGGAGGUGCGUAAAAAAACACUAAAAAGAAAGAAGGGGAAUGUGACAAAUCUGUGAUGGCAAAAGCAGAACAAGGACUUGCCUGCCCUAACCCGUCAUGUCCUCAAACCCUUGUGUGUUCCCCUAACCCCAGAGGAAUAAAAGAGAAGCCGUGAGAGGAAUCUGGUGACAAAAACAGGAUAAAUGAAAGCAGAAGAUGACACUUUGAUUAACGUCAAAGUGAAAGACUUCAAAUUUAAUAAGUUCCAAACGGUUUUGAUUCUUCUUGGCGCAGCUGAUACGCUUAUUUUAAGAUGCCACGGAAACUUUUGCGUCGCCAUUAUUGACACAUUACCCUGCCCACACAGAAAAGAGUAAAAUAAGGCUGCAAUCUGGUCAGAGUUAGUACCACAUCAGAUGUUGGCUGAUAUCAUCUAAUUGCAGAUGUUUUAACAUGGCUGUAAGUUGACCGUUAAUAACAACAUUCCCACAAGAAAUAUUGCCAAAGCCUGAUUCACUGAUUUCAUGAAUGAUGACCAAAAAAGUCAGGUGCAGGGUGGUUCUGGAACCAAAAGGUACCAGACAGCCUGCUGAGAAAAAGUGUCUGUUCCAGACCUUUAACCUACAACAUUUAGGUGCCAUGUACAGUUGCUGGUUUGAAUUGAGAUGCUCAUCAAGGUGGAUGUAACACCUGGAUGUACUGAAUAAAUGGCAUUGGUCUACACGCCUGCUCAUUCUUCCCACUGCACUUCAUAGGUGAAUACAUCUGUUAAUGGUUUUAAACAAACUGGGUUUUUCAAGUCAUCUUCAGCGUUUCUCCGGACCGUUCCAUUUGCCAGACAUAAGGUUCUAGCAUCCAAUAAUGUUGUUAUUGGUCUCUCUUGUAUCCUCGCUGCUUGAUGUUUUCAUGCAAUGCUGAUUUGUGGUGUCUUCUAGUCCUUUACUAGGGAAACACUGAUUCUGUUCCACGUCUUUCACUAACUGGGGAUGUUUCUCUCCCUUUCUGUGCAUUAGCAAAGUUAUUCUUUCACAAAAGCUCCUGACUUGAAGAUUCCAACAUGUAUUUAAAAAAAUAAAUCCUGGAGAUUAUUUCAUUGUCAUCAAAUAAACAAACUAUUUUAAGUUAUAAAUAAUAUCCAUUUUGGUCAUUUUUGUCUUGCUUAAUCUGCUUCUAAUUAUCCUUGCAUGCUUGUAUUCCUAUACCAAAAGACAUUAUUCAACCUAGCAGGUAAAAACCAAGAACAUUAUGCAUGGCAGGCAACAAAUGCAUCUAGAUGAUUUUUGGCUUCUAAGCACAGGUGGUGCAACUUCUAAACAAAGUUCCAUUCCAGUAUUUGCUCACUGUAAAUGUGUUUUUGUUGUGCUAUGUCACUUUGACAUCCUAAAGCAACUUUGCAGUUCAGACCUGGUCCACAUGCAUGUAGGAGAAUUGGAACAUUGCUUUUCAAAGCUGCUUUUUUAUUAGGGGAACAUAAACUUUCAGCUGUAGGCCCUUGAUCAGGCAAGUCUUUUUCCUUUGCAAACUGAAAUACCCAUAACGUGCAGAUGGAGUGAUGGAUCAUCUCAGGGUGCCAGAAGACAAAAAGUAGAAUGAUCGAAAUACAUGUUCCAUAAAAAUGUUUCAUGCUACACAAGCACCAGAAAAUAUUCUUUAUAAAUCUGUUCAUGAUUGUUUUUUGAUUUGGAAAAUAACAAACUGCAAUAAAAUUGAUUUAUUGGAGUGGAAAUCAAAGUGGACGUUUGGCUGUUAUGGAUGUUGUUUCCUGCCGCAACUUGACACAAGCAUGGGCACUGCAUGUAAGAAAAAUAAAUCUACCCACUUAGAGAAAGCGGGGGAGUGGCACAGCGGCUUUCAGGGUGUCAAACUUCAUAAAACAAAUUAGGUCAGUUGGCGAAUUGCAGGCUAAUUAUGUUUACAUGUACAGUCUACCACUGAUACAAACCAGACUGCAUUCCACAAAAGGAGGGAUGAAAGAGUGAGGUGGAGGAAAAGAAGGAGGUGACAGCAUAGUCACAACAGUGGUGACAAGGAGAUGGUGCAGAGGAAAACUACCGACAAGAAAAAGUGAAAGAGAGAAAUUAAAUAAACAUGUUUUCUUUUAUUACUAUGCACAUGUAUCUACAAACCUCUCAGACAUAGCUGUAAUAAGAGGGAGCACUAGUAGUAUACUUCUCUAGAGUUAGAGAAGUAUACUACUAGUCUUCCCUCUUACAUCAACCAGAAACGGAAGAAGUUCCUCUGUUGAGGAACAAAACGUCUUUCAAACUCCAAGAACAAGUCAAGUUGUUUACAACUAAACUCUUUGGCACUAUAAAGACUACUGGCUGUCCUCUUCCCCAUAUAGAACACGUUUAGAUUACUCUCCAAAGCCACCAAAUCACUGUUCUCACCCUGGUCACUCACUGUUUCAACUCAUUCCCUAAGACGUCACAGUUAUCUGAAAAUAAGGAUUCAAAGACACAACAAACAGAACAGCUGCUAUCCUAAGGCAAUAACGGCAUUACCAUAGAUUAAAGAUGCUUAAAUUAUAUAAAACUGCAUGCACAAAACUUUUAUCUAUGUAAAUACUAUUAAUAAUCCAAGUGUUUAAGCGUGGUUAAUGUGUCUGAUGGACAUAGUAUGCAUGGAUGCAGAGCAGGUAUACAGAAUGAAUGGAGAAAAACAGAUGAAGCAUGGAUGGUAUUUUAAUUUUUGAAAUUAUUAAUUUAUUUUUAUGAGAGUGAUGUGUGCAACAAGGCACCUUUCCAUUCCAAUAUGUCAAUGCAAUGACAACUACAGCAUUCUAUUCUAUUUCUCCCUGUAUAUUUCUUAUCUACUCGAACUUAUCUGCCACGUUUUCCCUCAUUCCUGUGCUCAUAUGAAUCAACAACUCCUUUCAGCAAAACAGUCAAAGUCAGAGUAGUUAUACCCCAGGCUCUUUUAUCAUUUUCCUUGUGUGCACUUGAUGACUCAUCUGUGUUUAAUGUCUUUUGGCCUGUUGGAGGCUGGGGUUCCACCACCACAAUCUGCUCAGGGACUUCCUCUUGGAGGCCCUCCUCCUCCCCCUGCUCUGGUGCACACCAUUUCCUGUCUCAUUUGAUGACACGUGGGAUAUUAUCAAGGACUGGAAGCUGGACAGGUUGGAAAUCAUGCACUGAAACACACAUGUGUGAGAGGACAUGUUUGUGAGCUUUUCACAAACACAGUCCUCUUGUCUCCAGACCCAGCUUGGGCGCAGAGUCCUGGUACACCAGGAUUAAAACUGGCCUGACGAAACACACAAAUGAACAGAUGCAGAGACUAAAUUAGCUUUCCGUAAACACCGAUAUGCUGCAAGUUCCACUUCAAAACAACCUCUCGGUGCCGUGUUGUCGCUGUGAGUUUUAUGACGCACCAGAUGGAUUUGUCUGAAUUUUUGACACAUUGCAGAAUCGUAUAUUUUUACCGUGUGGUCUGUGGUACUCGUUAUGGUAAAGUCUUUCCUGCCCAUGCAAGAAAAUAUAUUAAGAGAUAGGAAUGAUGGGAGUCAUUGUUUCCAUGGAAUAAAAUGGCUGCUUCUCAGAUACACAUGGCUUAAGUGACUUGGCCAAGAGCUCAUCAAAUUAUCUAGACUGAAGCAGCCAGGAACCAAAAUGUUCUCAAUGGUUGAGGUAACUCGGGUUAAGGAACCAGGCCAAAUGUUAAAGAUGUGAAGGAGUCAACAAUACACUUGUAUUUGUAUGUCAUUCACCUCUACUGAGUUACAAUUUAGUUUUUACCCCAUUUGACCUUAUUGUCAUCCAUGAAGCAGUGUCAACACGUUUUGUUGUGGCAAGAGUCCCAUCACCACUAAUAUUAGCAGUAUGACAGUUUCAUUAGUCAUUUAGGAUUCUGUUAUUUUUGGAAAUAUCUCAUGACUUUUUUUAGAGUGACCCUGGAUGUUCUCCAUCUGGAAACUUAGUAAGCCCUAACACUUUUUUUUACUUGUCCCUAAGCAGAGAAUCACUCUGGACCUUAUAUUGGGUUAAAAGAGUCACUAGCUGAAUACAAAUCUACCCUUUAUUUUUACCUUACCAUUCACCUGCUACUCACUAGUUGUCACCUGAAACUUCUGAAAGUCAUGUCAUUAGUUAGGAAGACUGCAAUUAAAAAAAUGUCCGUCAUUUGCUGUAUUAUUGGUUGUUUGUUGCAGGAAAUAGAAGGUUAAUUAAAAGUAUAAAUGUUAGCAUAAGAAUAAUUGAAAAUGGUGCCUAGAAUCUCUUUUUGGUGUAUUUCAAAAGUUGCAUUUUAAUAUGAAUAUAUUAUGGGGGGGGCAAAAGUCUAAAUAUAUAUUUGAUUUAAAUACUGCUUGUUACUUGCCAUCCUGUUUCGGCCUCGUUCAGUUUGUUUUGUUUUGUAAAUAAUCCUUUGCAAAUUAUCACUCAUUAACCUUUAGCACUUUGGCUGCUGUUUUAUUUUUUGACCGGGUCAAACAAAAUGAUCAUCUAUGUGAGAUCACAACAUAAAAGUCACUAGUUCUCAAGCAAACUGGAAAGACAGCCUUUAGUGUUUCACUGUUGUGGUUGUACUCCCAUGUCCUCCCACAGUUCAAUGACAUGCAGACUGGGGAUUUGGUUAUUUAGAGACUCUAAAUUGACCAGAAAUGUGAAUGUGCACAACUGUUUGUCUUUGUAUGUGGUCUUUGUUUUGGAUUGCUGACUUAUCAAGGGUGUGUUCUGGCUCUCACCAGAUGUUAAGUCGGAUUGGUUCCAGCAACCCCACAAAGUUUAACAGAGCAAUGAUAAAGAUAAUUUGAUGAAAUAAGGAUCUAAUACAAGCUUUUAUUAAAUUUGGGAUUUAGAUUUUUCCACUAAAUGCAAAAGAGUGGGGAUUCUGGUAAUAUGCAAUGCAACAAUUUUAGAUGCAACCUUGAACUAUACUUGUUGGGUCUGUUAAUGAUAACUUCUCUUUUACUUCAACCCAUUACUUCACAGUUAAGACAUAAAGAUAAAAACAGAAUACUAUCAGUCGGUGCACACAAGGUUGGAUAUUUAGGAGGUCUCCAUGCACAAAUAAAUACAAACAUACUGGUUUCUUAAGGCUAUUCUCAUCACAUUGCGAUCAAAACCAGAUUACUGAUGUGCAUGCAAACAUCACAAUGUGAACAGAAAAUAAGAAAAGGAGUCAGAGGGGAAGGGAAUGAGUAAAAGUGUCAUAGGACCUCUGCAGAUGGAGUGCAGGGCUGGUGGGGGACAUGCCACACAUGUUUAGAAAAGAAAGGAGAGAGGAGAAAAAAGUUUGGACAAGGUUUCACUUCUUUUUCAGAGAAGGAGAGAGGGAGAUGGAGAGUGAAAGAAAAGCAGAAAUGAGGGAGGGAAAGCAGAGUGGGUGUGUCUGCCUCCCUUUUGUCCCCUCCUUCCAUUAUAGAGGUUAUAGAUGCUGCAGCAGGAGCAGCUUGCUGCAUCCAGACGCCUAGUCCAGUGAGCUGCACUAGUCCUGAGUUCCACCAGCUCAGAGAAGUAGUCCAGCCACUUCAAACCCAACAUACAGCCCGAGCCCUGCAGCUGCAGCACCAACUGCACUUUCAACCUCUAAGGUUGCAUGCUUAUUUCUAAAGAGAUCCUAUCCUAGAAGCCUUUAUUUUUGCAGACUCUGACAGAGAUAAUGAGGAUGCAGCAGAACUCAAGGAGUUUUCAGGUCCUUCUCCUCAUGGUCUUCAUAGCUGGGAUAGUUCUGUCAGGUCCCUCCACUCGACGCAGGAGCAGAGUGCGACGCCAGAACAUGAAAGUUCGCAUCAAUGCCACAGAAGACACCGUCAUUAUGAAGUUUGUACGCCCCAACCCAGACACCAAACUUGAAGGCUACAUACUGGGAUAUGGCAGCAGCAUGUUCUCUAAACAGUUCAUUCAGCUGCCUGAGAACGGGAAGCCCUACGAGACCGAGUUUGAUGCUGAGCCCAAGUACCUUAUAGCUGUUCAGCCUAUUCCUGUCAAUGAGGUGAAAAAGCAGUGUACAGGUAAAGUGGAACUGCAAAAACCAUUGCACUUAGUGAUCGGGUCUAUAACCCCUACUUCAGUGCUCCUGUCGUGGGGGACUCUGCUAAAAACCCCUUAUGACAGUAAUGUCAUGGAUGACUGUCUUGAGGAUGGACACUACACAGUUCGUUAUCGUGAGAAAAAUAGAAAGUGGAACUACCAGACCUGCCCAACAAGUGACACGGUCAUUGACAAUUUGAAGCCCAACACAUUCUAUGAGUUUGCUGUGCAGCCCAACAGUAGGGACUCCAGUGGGUCCUGGAGUAGUCCAGUCCUUCACAACAUCAACAGGCCUGGUGUAAAUGAGAAGAACACCAAUAGGAUCAAACCUGACAAAACUGGGAAACCUUUGCCAGGAUCAUUUCCCUUUUCUCCUCGGAAUGUUUUCCAUAACAAGACCCUGGUCAGGCCUGUCGUACGGAAAAUAAACCUAAAGACAACUCUUGCUCCCACCACAACUACUAGACAGGAAUCACUAUCCACCCCUGGACCUACAACGCCUGUUGUCACCAAACAGCCAAUCGGAAAAGGACAGCUCUCCAGACCUAUCUUGCCUCCUUUCUUGGAAAUUCUAUUAACCAAUACUGAAUUUCAUACUACUAAGCCUAAUACUAAGCUACACACAGUUCCUACAGUGAAAACCUUGCUACAGCCUAAAAUAAAUGAUGAUAAACAUGGAGAGCAAAAGCCCACUACACAAUCUUUAACGACUCCAAGAUUACCCCAGGUCAAGCCACGACCUUUACCAACACCCAGACCCCAUCAACGUCAGCAAAAGUCAACCGCUAAGCCUAAAUCCACAACCAAAACCUUUUUCCAAGGCAAACCACAAUUGCCACUACAAAUACCAACCCAGUCCACAAAGUUAACACAUCUGACUCUACCACAACAGCAACCUUUAUUCUUUCCUAUACCCCAGCCCCUACCAAAACCAACAUAUCAUUUCAUACGUCAGACUGAACCACAACCACUUUAUCAACCAACUUCUAGGCCCAUGCUUACAACCGUGCCACCACCACAGCUGAUCUCACAUUACAUUCACAAAACACAGUCUCAACCACACACCCAACCACCAAAUCAAGCAAUAUCCACAACCCAACUACACUUUGUUCCAUUUUCUCCACAAAUCCAUUCACAGUGGUUCAUUUCACAGGCGCAAACUCAAACUGAACUAACAUCACAGUAUUUAUCACCAACACAACAACCAAUGACAUCGUUCAUGGCCCAGGAACAACAUAGAACUCAACCAACAUCUCAGCCUACUCCACAAACCUAUCCAAAACCCAAACUCACAUCUCAGCCUAUACUUCAAACACAAUUCCAAUCAUUACCCCCAAAACAAUUCCAGACUUCAUCACAACCUUUGCAAAAGCCCAAUCUUGAACUAGAGCCACAAAUUGCAACCAAAUCCCAGAAAAGCCCUCCAACAACACAUGCACCCAUUUUUAAGCAUCAGACUCAAAGUCACACACUACCUCAACUUGAAACCCAGCCUCAGCCUAAACCACUCAUUCCAGCUGUAACUAUGCCCCCACUUGCACUGCACAACAUACCGCAUACCAAACAAACACAACUAAAGAUUCCCACUAAACCUCAAGCUAAGCCUACAGCGCAGUCACAGACACCGAAACAGCUUAAACCGAGUACAAAAGUACAGCAAAAACAUGAAAACAAGUCACAGCCUAACACCUUAGACACCAAGCCAAGACUUGAGAAGGAGGCAUCUAAGAGCGAACACAAACAAAAAGGCCAAACACCAUCUAACCAGAAAGAGCAAACAAUGACUCACCACAACCGCAACACCAGGAAAGAACAGUCCAAACAAUGGCUUUCCUUUAAGAACCAGACCAAACCCCAACCUGACCGUUUGCCCAAACCACAUCCUGUAUCUAUAUCUGAUAAACAUUCUCAACUUGGGCUUCCAUCUCAGCCUCAGACCAGGACCUUCUCUGAUCCCACCAAGUUCACCCAAAGAAAAACAGCCCCUACGGCUCCUAGUCCACCAGAAGGGGGCAAGCCUCUAUCAAGACCUGCCCUGGCUACAAAGAAAGCCGGUGUCAACUCCCGCAGACCAUCUUUUCCUGGAGGUCCUCGUUCCCAUACUAACUCAUCAGUUCCUGCAGCACGGAGAAACUACACAAUGCCUCAAUUCCCUUAUAAGGAAAACCGUCUUGUCAGACCAAGUCCUCCAUCCAAGCCAAUGACCUCUCCUCAUAUCUCCAGCACAUCUGGGGCAGCGGAUGGGGAGAAAAAAAGGAUCAUUGGUCAUGACAAAUCUCCAGAACGGCCUAAAGAAAACCCUGUUCCAAAUGUUCCUAUCAACAAGGGUCCGAACCUGGUGGGCAAACCCAGUGACAAUGAUAAACCCAUGGACCUUAAACAAGGAGACAAGGAGUCCAUCUUGAAACGAUUCCCCCUGGUCACUGCCAAGCCCAAGCAGGAGCGAAGACAGCAGACAACCACUGCGGCUCCAGUGUUUAACAGUACCCGCUUUGACAUAUAUGAAAAUUCCUCCAUAUUCAGGCCCCUGCCUAUAACAGAUUUAGACAGCAUGGGGAACAAGCGAUUUACAGCUCCACACGUCAUCUACAAGACGGAUAAAAAGCCGGAGGAGCCGUGCUCCAUCACCUCCUCCAUGACCUAUUUUCCUGAUGAGGAGGGCAACGAUCAGAAUGUGACAGGUCCUCCUCGCAUCCCACCCUCCAACCUCACUGUGGUCACUGUGGAGGGCUGCUCGUCCUUCGUCAUCCUGGACUGGCAGAAAUCAGACAAUGAGACCAAAGAGUAUGAAGUUGUGUCUACAGCUAAAGGACCCAAUGGUGAGGAGGUGUCCAUACUGACGACAAAUCAAACCCACACAGCGGUGGAGAAUCUUCAACCUAAGAGGGAUUAUGUUUUCAAAGUCACGCCCAAGAAUGAGCGAGGAACUGGACCUCCCACUGACCCCGUGACCUUCAGCACAGAAUCAGCGGAUCCAAGAGCAAAGGUGCUAUCUGGACUCAGUUUCCAUUUAAAGCAGAUGCCUACUCCGAAUGCAAUGGAAAGCAGUUUGUGAAGAGAACCUGGUACCGAAAAUUUGUAGGAAUCCAGCUCUGCAACUCCCUGAGAUACAAAAUCUACCUGAGUGACACGCUUAAUGGCAAGUUCUACAAUAUUGGAGACCAGACAGGUUAUGGAGAAGACCACUGUCAGUUUGUAGACUCCUUCUUAGAUGGGCGGACUGGUACACAGACGUUUGCUGAUCAGCUCCCAAGCAGACUAGGAUACUUCAGAGCACUGAGACAGGAACCUGUACACUUUGGAGAAAUUGGGGGAAGGUCACAUGUUACCUAUGUAGGCUGGUAUGAGUGUGGCAGACCUAUACCAGGGAAGUGGUAAGAUUCAGCAGAGCUUCCCAACUGGUGAGGAAGAGAGAGAAGAAGAAAAAAAAGACGUUGUCUGUCCUGACUCAAAGAGGCAGACACCAUGGACACUUGUCAGUUUGAACUCAGCCUACUCCCCCAUGCCUGAUCCCUUUAAAUAACUAUUUCCUGCCACAAAACUCUACAGAGUGCAUUUGCAACAUCGGUCUUAAUUUCUUAUAAUAUAUAAUUUAUCAUAAAUGUCAGACAAAAGAGUGCAGCCACAAAAUGUUGAACGUACAGUGAUCACAGGUAGAUUUUGGGAAGCUGGCUCCCAAAAUGUUCCAACAUGUAUAUUAUUUAUCAUUGGUCUGUUAUCAAAUGUUCUGUGUGCUUGGGCUUUGGAGAUGAGAAAGUAAAAUUUGUCUCUGGUAGUUGCUUAUCCUCUAACACACAUUGGACAUUUGUAUACAGAAAGGUACCAAUUGUGCUUUAAUUGUACAUUGGAUUUUGAAGAACUACACAGAUAUGCAGAAUUGACCCUCUGCUGGCCCUAAGGGAUUAUUAGCAGUCGCAGUUUGCACAAUAUUAAACUUUUCCAUAUAUGUAUAUGAUGUGAAUAUAGAAUGAAUACCAGGCAGUGACCACAGAUUCUUUCAGGUUUACAUGUGGAUCUUUGAUAAGAAAAAUAAAAGCUAAAUUUGAGCCCCAGAGGUUCAACUGCAUCACUUGAAAACAAAGUAUUCUGUCAAAACCUAUCAAGUCCUGUAUAAUAGAAAAUACAAUGUG